rnacentral:rRNA from 1 species
CAAUAGCGUAUAUUUAAGUUGCUGCAGUUAACAAGCUCGUAGUUGGAUUUCGGGUGGGAAUGGCCGGUCCGCCGUUUCGGUGUGCACUUGCUACGCCCACCUUGCUGCCGGGGACGUGCUCUUGAGUUCACGCUCGGGACACGGAGUCGGCGAGGUUACUUUGAGUAAAUUAGAGUGUUCAAAGCAGGCCUACGCUCUGAAUACAUUAGCAUGGAAUAACACGAUAGGACUCUGGCCUAUCUUGUUGGUCUGUAGGACCGGAGUAAUGAUUAAGAGGGACAGUCGGGGGCAUUCGUAUUUCAUUGUCAGAGGUGAAAUUCUUGGAUUUAUGAAAGACGAACUACUGCGAAAGCAUUUGCCAAGGAUGUUUUCAUUAA